CCUCACAGCCAUACCCCCCUGACAAUGCCCAGUCUCUUCUGAUCUUGGAAGAUAAGCAGGGUUGGGCUUGGUAGUACUUGGAUGGGAGACUGCUGAGAAUACCAGGCUGUAGUAGUGAGGC
rnacentral:rRNA from 1 species